ACUGACUGAACACUUCAGACUAGGCUUACUUGAAUUCACCUUAGCUGAUCCUGUGAGAGAACAUCUGUGGAAAUGGGCCUGUAAAAGCCAGGGAGUAACCCGAAAAUGACAAAAGCCUGGCCUGUAUAUUGCAGAGACAAUACUGUAGAGAGUUAGAGUUAGGGGCAGAUCCACAAAGAAUUAAGACAAUACUGUAGAGAGUGAGAGGUAGGGGCAGAUCCACAAAGAAUUAAGACAAUACUGUAGAGAGUGAGAGGUAGGGGCAGAUCCACACAGAAUUAAGACAAUACUGUAGAGAGUGAGAGGUAGGGGCAGAUCCACACAGAAUUAAGACUAUACUGUAGAGAGUGAGAGGUAGGGGCAGAUCCACAAGAAUUAAGACAAUACUGUAGAGAGUGAGAGGUAGGGGCAGAUCCACACAGAAUUAAGACAAUACUGUAGAGAGUGAGAGGUAGGGGCAGAUCCACACAGAAUUAAGACAAUACUGUAGAGAGUGAGAGGUAGGGGCAGAUCCACACAGAAUUAAGACAAUACUGUAGAGAGUGAGAGGUAGGGGCAGAUCCACACAGAAUUAAGACAAUACUGUAGAGAGUGAGAGGUAGGGGCAGAUCCACACAGAAUUAAGACUAUACUGUAGAGAGUGAGAGGUAGGGGCAGAUCCACACAGAAUUAAGACAAUACUGUAGAGAGUGAGAGGUAGGGGCAGAUCCACAAAGAAUUAAGACUAUACUGUAGAGAGUGAGAGGUAGGGGCAGAUCCACACAGAAUUAAGACUAUACUGUAGAGAGUGAGAGGUAGGGGCAGAUCCACACAGAAUUAAGACAAUACUGUAGAGAGUGAGAGGUAGGGGCAGAUCCACAAAGAAUUAAGACUAUACUGUAGAGAGUGAGAGGUAGGGGCAGAUCCACACAGAAUUAAGACAAUACUGUAGAGAGUGAGAGGUAGGGGCAGAUCCACACAGAAUUAAGACAAUACUGUAGAGAGUGAGAGGUAGGGGCAGAUCCACAAAGAAUUAAGACAAUACUGUAGAGAGUGAGAGGUAGGGGCAGAUCCACACAGAAUUAAGACAAUACUGUAGAGAGUGAGAGGUAGGGGCAGAUCCACACAGAAUUAAGACAAUACUGUAGAGAGUGAGAGGUAGGGGCAGAUCCACACAGAAUUAAGACAAUACUGUAGAGAGUGAGAGGUAGGGGCAGAUCCACACAGAAUUAAGACAAUACUGUAGAGAGUGAGAGGUAGGGGCAGAUCCACACAGAAUUAAGAGAAUACUUUUUUCAGCCAUAGAACUCUAUAUUGGAUCGCAGAUGGAGGUUUUAGGUGUAGAAUAUUGCAUUCGGUUUGCCUAACUAUGACCCAGACUAAACUAUAUGCCUGGGUUAACCUUGGAUGUGUCAGCAGAAUCAACAGAUGUUAGAUUGUAAUGGGCCACAAUCCAGUAAUUUAAAAUGUCAAACCAGGCCACAAGACCCAUUGGAAAUAGGAUAAUAUGUUCUACAUGCUCUCCUCUCAUGCACUUAGCCAUUUUCUUAGUAUCUGCUAUAUCUAAUGGAUAUUCAUGUGCAUUUUAUUGAUGAACUGGAAACAACCUUUUGAGUUUAUUUGUUGUUUUUAUUUUUACAGGGACAGUGCACAUUAAUCAACGUUUCAGUAAAAGUGUCGGUUUUAGCCAGCCGGCUAAUUUUCAACCGCAGUCCCUGGGCAGGUUAUUAAAAACAA